AUUGAACGCUGGCGGCAGGCCUAACACAUGCAAGUCGAGCGGUAGAGAGAAGCUUGCUUCUCUUGAGAGCGGCGGACGGGUGAGUAAUGCCUAGGAAUCUGCCUGAUAGUGGGGGAUAACGUCCGGAAACGGACGCUAAUACCGCAUACGUCCUACGGGAGAAAGUGGGGGCUCUUCGGACCUCACGCUAUCAGAUGAGCCUAGGUCGGAUUAGCUAGUUGGUGGGGUAAAGGCGCACCAAGGCGACGAUCCGUAACUGGUCUGAGAGGAUGAUCAGUCACACUGGAACUGAGACACGGUCCAGACUCCUACGGGAGGCAGCAGUGGGGAAUAUUGGACAAUGGGCGAAAGCCUGAUCCAGCCGUGCCGCGUGUGUGAAGAAGGUCUUCGGAUUGUAAAGCACUUUAAGUUGGGAGGAAGGGUCGUUACCUAAUACGUGGCGAUUUUGACGUUACCGACAGAAUAAGCACCGGCUAACUCUGUGCCAGCAGCCGCCGCCGUAA
rnacentral:rRNA from 1 species